rnacentral:misc_RNA from 1 species
GUAGGUGAACCUGCGGAAGGAUCAUUACUGAAGUGCUGCCUGGCGCAAGCUGGGUGGCUAUUAUCCUUCAUACUCUCACUGUUUGUGGAAGCUGCGGAGAUGGAUAACACCGUCUCUGGAGUGGAAGCGGCAGUGUGAAUUUACCUUCUGGUAAAAAAAUGUCUGAUUACAAACAUAACAAACCAAAACUUUCAACAACGAAUCUCUUGGUUCUC